UGGGGAAUAUUGGACAAUGGGCGAAAGCCUGAUCCAGCCAUGCCGCGUGUGUGAAGAAGGUCUUCGGAUUGUAAAGCACUUUAAGUUGGGAGGAAGGGCAUUAACCUAAUACGUUAGUGUUUUGACGUUACCGACAGAAUAAGCACCGGCUAACUCUGUGCCAGCAGCCGCGGUAAUACAGAGGGUGCAAGCGUUAAUCGGAAUUACUGGGCGUAAAGCGCGCGUAGGUGGUUUGUUAAGUUGGAUGUGAAAUCCCCGGGCUCAACCUGGGAACUGCAUUCAAAACUGACUGACUAGAGUAUGGUAGAGGGUGGUGGAAUUUCCUGUGUAGCGGUGAAAUGCGUACAUAUAGGAAGGAACACCAGUGGCGAAGGCGACCACCUGGACUAAUACUGACACUGAGGUGCGAAAGCGUGGGGAGCAAACA
rnacentral:rRNA from 1 species